rnacentral:rRNA from 1 species
AGGACGAACGCUGGCGGCGUGCUUAACACAUGCAAGUCGAGCGAGGCCCUUCCUUCGGGAAGGAGCCCUAGCGGCGAACGGGUGAGUAACACGUGGGCAACCUGCCCCUAGCACUGGGAUAACUCCGGGAAACCGGGGCUAAUACCGGAUAUGACCUUGGAAGGCAUCUUCCUUGGUGUAAAGGAUUCUGGUUAGGGAUGGGCCCGCGGCCUAUCAGCUUGUUGGUGGGGUAACGCCUACCAAGGCGACGACGGGUAG